GGACGGUUCGAGUAAGUGAUAUUUCGGAACAGAAUCUAGUUCCUUCAAUAACUAGAUUCUGUUCCGAAAUAUCACUUACUCGAAC